GAUGAACGCUAGCGGCAGGCCUAACACAUGCAAGUCGAGGGGCAGCACAGAAACAGCAAUGUUUUGGUGGCGACCGGCGGACGGGUGCGUAACGCGUAUGCAACCUACCUUUAACAGGGGGAUAACGGAGAGAAAUUUCCACUAAUACCCCAUAACAUCGAUCAAGGCAUCUUGAUUGGUUGAAAACUCCGGUGGUUAAAGAUGGGCAUGCGUUGUAUUAGGUAGUUGGUGAGGUAAUGGCUCACCAAGCCUACGAUACAUAGGGGGACUGAGAGGUGAGCCCCCCACACUGGUACUGAGACACGGACCAGAAUCCUGCGGGAGGCAGCAGUGAGGAAUAUUGGUCAAUGGGGGCAACCCUGAACCAGCCAUGCCGCGUGCAGGAAGACGGCUCUAUGAGUUGUAAACUGCUUUUAAACAGGGAUAAAGCACAGUAUGUAUACUGUGUUGAAGGUACUGUAAGAAUAAGGAUCGGCUAACUCCGUGCCAGCCGCCGCCGUAA
rnacentral:rRNA from 1 species